CGGGGCGUAGCUCAGCCAGGUUUAGAGUACACGUCUGGGGGGCGUGGGGUCGGAAGUUCGAAUCUUCUCGCCCCGA
rnacentral:tRNA from 1 species